rnacentral:lncRNA from 1 species
CAGAUGUUCAAUAUAAGGUCUAGAAAUUAAUAUAUACCUUGUUCAAGAUAGCAAGAUCAAUACUUUAUCUAUGUGUGUGUGAGUACAACAUAGAAAAAGACUACAAUGACAAACAAAUCAAUACAGCAAAAUCUGCUGUGUCCUAACAAUUCUUUUUUGUCAAAAGAAAAUAUCAACCGUAAAUUGUCUUAAGAUUGCACAAAUAGUCCAGAAAUAUUAGAAACUUAGUAUACUGUGGCUUACAGCUUAAUAAGAAGUGGGCAUGUGGCACCUCUAACAAGACAGGAAAGAGGCCAUUUAGUUAUAAUCUAAUACUUAGUUAAAAUGAGCCUAAAAUAGUAGGAAAAAAAGGAAUCUUUUAAAGAGGGAUUUUUCUCACCUAUUCACUCUCACACACUCACCAAUGACAUUUUCUCUAUCCCUCACUGAACCACUCCUCUUCUCUUCACUCAUGGAACCAGUCGAUUGAUCCCUCCCUCCAUCAUCUCCUCCAAGGCGUAUCUGGUUGAAGCCUGGACCAGUUGCGAUAUGAAAAACCCAUUUGAUGGUCUUAUACAGUGGUUCUGUUUGUCAACCUCUGCUUGAGCUGCAAUAUUCAUAUCUGCUUAAGGCUUCUAAGGAUGGAGUUCUAAACUCUUCCUAAGAUCCAUUCAAGAUCACUUGCUAUCCUUCAUGAUCCAAUUUAAGGUACUUACUUUGCUAUGUCACGACAGUUACUUGAUGGUAACAUUACUAUGCAUAAUUGCCGAACAAUUGUGAUUCCCAACAUUAACGUGUUUUAUGUGAUAUUAAGAAGAUAUUCUCCUAAUAUACCUAGAUUCUCUGCUGGGCUAUAUUUACUUGAUACAAACUCAUGAUAUUCAUAGUAAACAAUGGAUAUGAAGAGAACCACACAAACACUGUUUGAAAGAGCUUAUAAACUAAACUGCCACAUUUCUCCGAAUUCGAAUACCUUCAAGCUCCCUUUAGCUUCCCAUUAUCAAUUAUUAUUACAUUUUUCUAGCCAUAUAGUGCCAUAGAUAACUCAGUUAAGCAUCAGAGCAGUCACAUUUCUCUGAAUUCAAAAACCUUCAAGCACUCUAUAGCGUCAAAUUCAUGAAAAGAAACUAAUACGAGAAAGAAAAAAGUUUCCAUUAAUUUGUGUGUGUGUUAACAGAAUUCUUGAAUUGCAAUGAACAGUAGUGUUUUAAAGAAAAUAACCUUCCAAGCUAACAAGAGCAAGAAAGUCUCAAGGCCCCAGGCUCCUCGAUCAACAUAAUCUCCAUUAAACACAAAAAACCGAUCUUCAAAAGGAAAUCCAGCAUCUUGCAACAAAAACAUAACAUCAUGAAGUUGCCCAUGAACAUCUCCUACAACAACCACUCUAGAAUUUUCAUUACAGUCAUCAAUUCUAACACAAUUAGGCUCUUUGUGCAGAAUUUUCGAGGCAGUGAGGACUAAAGCGUCAAAUACGGAAACAGGGAGGACUGAAGGGAGUUCAGAUGGAGGGAGGUUUUUGGAAGACCAAUCAAAGGCGGAAAUGAGGUUUUGGAUCCAGUCGAGAGUGACGGAAGAGUUCGAAGGCCAUGAGAGAGGGAUCUGAAUAGG